rnacentral:rRNA from 1 species
AUUGAACGCUGGCGGCAUGCCUUACACAUGCAAGUCGAACGGCAGCACGGGAGCAAUCCUGGUGGCGAGUGGCGAACGGGUGAGUAAUAUAUCGGAACGUGCCCGGUCGUGGGGAUAACGUAGCCGAAAGCUACGCUAAUACCGCAUACGAUCUACGGAUGAAAGCGGGGGGAUCGCAAGACCUCGCGCGAUUGGAGCGGCCGAUAUCAGAUUAGGUAGUUGGUGGGGUAAAGGCUCACCAAGCCGACGAUCUGUAGCUGGUCUGAGAGGACGACCAGCCACACUGGGACUGAGACACGGCCCAGACUCCACGGGAGCAGCAGUGGGAAUUUGGACAAUGGGCGCAAGCCUGAUCCAGCAAUGCCGCGUGCAGGAUGAA